rnacentral:rRNA from 1 species
AUUGAACGCUGGCGGCAUGCCUUACACAUGCAAGUCGAGCGGGAUCCAUCUGGUGGCAACACCGGGGAAGAUCUAGCGGCGAACGGGUGAGUAACACGUGAGAAACCUGCCCCGAACUUCGGGAUAACACGGGGAAACCCGUGCUAAUACCGAAUACCCUCUACCGGUCGCAUGGCCGGAAGCGGAAAGAUUCAUCGGUUCGGGAGGGUCUCGCGGCCUAUCAGCUAGUUGGCGGGGUAACGGCCCACCAAGGCAUCGACGGGUAGCUGGUCUGAGAGGACGCUCAGCCACACUGGGACUGAGACACGGCCCAGACUCCGACGGGAGGCAGCAGUGGGGAAUCUUGCGCAAUGGGCGAAAGCCUGACGCAGCAACGCCGCGUGCGGGAUGAAGGCCUUCGGGUUGUAAACCGCUUUCAGCAGGGAAGAAAAUGACGGUACCUGCAGAAGAAGCCCCGGCCAACUACGUGCCAGCCGCCGCCGUAA